GGCAAUGUGGCUCAGUGGUAGAGCACUUCCCUAUGCAUGUGUGAGGAGUUGGGUUUGAUCCCCAGCACUGUCA
rnacentral:tRNA from 1 species